rnacentral:rRNA from 1 species
GACGAACGCUGGCGGCGUGCCUAACACAUGCAAGUCGAACGAUGAAGCCGGAGCUUGCUCCGGUGGAUUAGUGGCGAACGGGUGAGUAACACGUGAGCAAUCUGCCCUUGACUCUGGGAUAACUGCGGGAAACUGUAGCUAAUACCGGAUACGACACCUUGGGGCAUCCCAGGGUGUGGAAAGAAUUUCGGUCAAGGAUGAGCUCGCGGCCUAUCAGCUAGUUGGUGAGGUAAUGGCUCACCAAGGCGACGACGGGUAGCCGGCCUGAGAGGGUGCCCGGCCACACUGGAACUGAGACACGGUCCAGACUCCGACGGGAGGCAGCAGUGGGGAAUAUUGCACAAUGGGCGAAAGCCUGAUGCAGCAACGCCGCGUGAGGGAUGAAGGCCUUCGGGUUGUAAACCUCUUUUAGCAGGGAAGAAGCGAAAGUGACGGUACCUGCAGAAAAAGCACCGGCUAACUACGUGCCAGCCGCCGCCGUAA